UGAAUCUGCAGACAUUUUUCUCU
rnacentral:snRNA from 1 species